UUUCCGUAGGUGAACCUGCGGAAGGAUCAUUACAGAGUUCAUGCCCUCACGGGUAGAUCUCCCACCCUUGAAUAUUAUACCUUAGUUGCUUUGGCGGGCCGUGGAAACACCAUGGGCUCCGGCUUAUGCGUGCCUGCCAGAGGAAACAAACUCUGUUUUUAGUGAUGUCUGAGUACUAUAUAAUAGUUAAAACUUUCAACAACGGAUCUCUUGGUUCUG
rnacentral:misc_RNA from 1 species